UACGUAGGGUCCGAGCGUUGUCCGGAAUUAUUGGGCGUAAAGAGCUCGUAGGCGGUCUGUUGCGUCGGUUGUGAAAACCUGGGGCUCAACUCCAGGCCUGCAAUCGAUACGGGCAGACUAGAGUUCGGUAGGGGAGACUGGAAUUCCUGGUGUAGCGGUGAAAUGCGCAGAUAUCAGGAGGAACACCGGUGGCGAAGGCGGGUCUCUGGGCCGAAACUGACGCUGAGGAGCGAAAGCGUGGGGAGCGAACAGG
rnacentral:ncRNA from 2 species